AAAAACAUGUGGCUCACUUUCUUUCGUACCAAAAUAGAAAGAUGUAGGGAAGAUUAUCAUCGUCUCUGGGCAAGGAUGACAAGCAAAUUCAUGCAGCAUCCUAUAUUUUU
rfam:Dipodomys ordii contig_62532, whole genome shotgun sequence.